CCGUUGCAAGGGACUCCGAAGAGCUGUGGCAAGGGGUGAAAAGCCAAUCUAACCUGGAGAUAGCUGGUCUUCUGCGAAACCCGUUUUAGCGGGUCGCCCAUUUAUUGGAAUUAAAUUCGUUACUAGACGGUACGGCACUGGAAGCCACGCAGCUUUUGCUGCAUAAUCGGGGGGCUGUCAUGGCUCUAUCGAUGGCUUCUAACCCCGGAAAUGUAUAGUAUACAAUGAUGGGCAAUCAGACGUAUCGUGAUAAGGCGAUUCGUCAAAAGGGCAACAGCCCGGAACAGGUGUGAAGGUCCCUAACAAGCUACUGAGUGAACACAAGGCAGUCCUCUCCAGUGUCUCUCCACAAAGUGGGCUUGGAAGCAGCCACCUUUUAGCGAUAGCGUAACAGCUCAGUGGUCUGAGCCUCCCUGUAAAAAGGGAAUAUUGCCUGGUGAGGGCGCCAAAAAUGUAACGGGUCUAUAGUAGUUGUCUCUCUGUUCCAGCUUGGAUAUGGAGGGAGUGGCAGUUUCUUCACUGUCUCACCGAAACCCUGUCCUAGAUGUAAAAUUCUAGGGGUAGCAGAAUACCCAGCAAAUGGAAUGAAGCUUGCUCAUUGAGCCGGUGGACAUAGCUGGGCUAAGAAUGCUGACAUGAGUAGCCUAAAAGGAGGGUAAUUCCCUCUUCGCCGAAAGCAGAAGGGUUUCAUUCGUAAGGUCUAUACCUAGAUGAUUAAAGCAGCGGCCUCUAAGGUUCAGAGUAACAAAUUAGUUCCGAUGAGUAACUCUUCUAUAGGGCAGUAACCUUCCUUAUAAGUUUACCUUCAAGUAAUUAGAGGUAUACUUCAAAGAGUAAGGUUCGGGAAAGAGCCCUACAGAAUAAAUCUUAAAACCGUACCCUAAACCGACACAGGUCUGCAAGUAGAGCAUACUAAGGCGUAGAGAUAAUCGUCUUGAAGGAACUCGGCAAAAUGACCCCGUAACUUCGGGAGAAGGGGUGCCACUAAUAAGUGGCGGCACUAAACAGGGGGGCGCGACUGUUUACUUAAAACACCGGACUCUGCUAACACUAGCGUGGAUGUAUAGAGU
rnacentral:rRNA from 1 species